UGACUCAGCAUGGGGACAUGAUGUCAGGUGGUGUCAGCUGGCCUGGAUGGAGAGACCACGUUGGUGAGACUUAAUCGCUUACUCAGUCAUGCCUAUAAGAUGGAGCUCCAGUAAAAUCUCUGAAUGCUGAGGCUCAGAAGGCUUCCCUGGGUGGGAGGACGCCAGAAAUGGCUCAAUGGGAGGCCUCUGCCACGUAGAACUGUGGGCAGAAUUAAUGCAACUAAUGCACAGAAGGGAAAAACAGACAGCCUGGCCACACCGUCACCACUCAGAAGAUGGUGACUACUGUUCCUAUUGCUCCAGUUGUUGUUAUACCACUCUUUCCACUUAAACUUCUCUACUGCUGAGUUCAGUAUGGGAUCUCAGUGUUCAUCUUGUUAUGAAGCUCCGGAAACAGGGAUUAAACAUCGUACAGAGAAGAUUUGAGAGCUACAAACACUUGUGAACGGUACCAAGUCCCCUUGCAAAUUAUUCCAAUAAGCAAAGGCCUGCUCAAGGCAGACAAUAGAGAAGAGCUGGUGAAGAUACUUUUAAAGGUUCGCUUGGAUCAGGAAGAGACACCGAUAGGCGCCUUCCCCAAAUGGGAAACAAAUUGUGUGCUUUCUGAAUCAAUGAAUGAGAAAGUCAUCUGGUU